AACGAACGCUGGCGGCGUGGAUAAGACAUGCAAGUCGAACGGGACAGACCGAGUAGCAAUAUUUGGAAUGUUCAGUGGCGAACGGGUGCGUAACACGUGGAUAACAUUCCGGAAAGCGGGGAAUAGCCCAGGGAAACUUGGAUUAAUACCGCAUGUGGCCGCAAGGCUAAAGACGGGGACCGCAAGGCCUGUCACUUUCCGAUUGGUCCGCGGCCUAUCAGCUAGUUGGCGGGGUAAUGGCCCACCAAGGCUACGACGGGUAGCUGGUCUUAGAGGACGACCAGCCACACUGGAACUGAGACACGGUCCAGACACCUACGGGUGGCAGCAGUCGAGAAGCUUUCACAAUGGGGGCAACCCUAAUGGAGCGACGCCGCGUGGAGGAUAAGGUCUUCGGAUUGUAAACUCCUGUCAUGCGAGAACAAGGUACUCAGGCUAAUAACCUGAUUGUUUGAUGGUACCGCAAGAGAAAGAGACGGCUAACUCUGUGCCAGCCGCCGCCGUAA
rnacentral:rRNA from 1 species